rnacentral:rRNA from 1 species
UACGGGGGGGGCAAGCGGUUGUUCGGAAUUACUGGGCGUAAAGGGCUCGUAGGUGGCCAACUAAGUCAGACGUGAAAUCCCUCGGCUUAACCGGGGAACUGCGUCUGAUACUGGAUGGCUUGAGUUUGGGAGAGGGAUGCGGAAUUCCAGGUGUAGCGGUGAAAUGCGUAGAUAUCUGGAGGAACACCGGUGGCGAAGGCGGCAUCCUGGACCAACACUGACACUGAGGAGCGAAAGCCAGGGGGAGACAAA